rnacentral:rRNA from 1 species
UAGUCAUAUGCUUGUCUCAAAGAUUAAGCCAUGCAUGUGUAAGCAGAAGCCGUGAAAUCGUGAAGCCGCGAAAAGCUCAUUACAACAGCUAUUGUUUACUAGAGCUUUAAUGUUACUUGGAUAACUGUGGCAAAUCUAGAGCUAAUACAUGCAACGUAUACUGUUGUUGUUGCUUCUUGGAAGGACACGACGGUGCAUUUAUUAGUACUAAAACCAAUCGAAUCUGAGGAUUCGUUGUUUUGGUAAGCUCUGAAUAACUUUGCCGAUCGCAUGGUCCCGUACCGGCGACACAUCUUUCAAGUGUCUGCCUUAUCAACUUUCGUUGGUACGCUAUACGCCUACCACGGUGAUAACGGGUAACGGAGAAUCAGGGUUCGACUCCGGAGAGGGAGCCUGAGAAACGGCUACCACGUCCAAGGAAGGCAGCAGGCGCGCAAAUUACCCACUCCCGGCACGGGGAGGUAGUGACGAAUAAUAACGAGGCGAUGCUUUUAUAGUAUCGUUAUCGGAAUGAGUACGCUAUAAAAAUGCUAAUGAGUAGCAAUUGGAGGGCAAGUCUGGUGCCAGCAGCCGCGGUAAUUCCAGCUCCAAUAGCGUAUAUUAAAGUUGCUGCGUUUAAAACGCUCGUAGUUGGAUCUUUGGUUAUCGACUGCAAUGUCGCUAAACAAGCGAAUUAUUGCUGAUCGAAAUCUUAAAUCUGGAAAGCUCUUGAUGCUCUUGACCGAGUGUCCUGAGUGUCCAGAACGUUUACUUUGAGAAAAUUAGAGUGCUCAAAGCAGGCUGUAAAGCUUGAAUAGUGGUGCAUGGAAUAAUAGAAAAAGACCUCGAGUCUAUUUUGUUGGUUUUCGGAAACGAGGAAAUGAUUAAAAGGGACAGACGGGGGCAUUCGUACUGCUGCGUUAGAGGUGAUAUUCUUGGAUCGCAGCAAGACGAGCAACCGCGAAAGCAUUUGCCAAGAAUGUUUUCAUUAAUCAAGAACGAAAGUUAGAGGUUCGAAGGCGAUCAGAUACCGCCCUAGUUCUAACCGUAAACGAUGCCAACUAGCGAUUCGUCGAUGUUCUGUUAAGACUCGACGAGCAGCUUCCGGGAAACCAAAGUGUUUUGGUUCCGGGGGAAGUAUGGUUGCAAAGCUGAAACUUAAAGGAAUUGACGGAAGGGCACCACCAGGAGUGGAGCCUGCGGCUUAAUUUGACUCAACACGGGAAAACUCACCCGGCCCGGACACCGGAAGGAUUGACAGACCGAGAGCUCUUUCUUGAUUCGGUGGGUAGUGGUGCAUGGCCGUUCUUAGUUGGUGGAGUGAUUUGUCUGGUCAAUUCCGAUAACGAACGAGACUCUGGCUUAUUAACUAGUGACAGCACAGAUGAAGUGUUGCUGUUCACUUCUUAGAGGGACUAGAGGUAUGAAACCUCACGAAAUGGAGCAAUAACAGGUCUGUGAUGCCCUUAGAUGUCCGGGGCUGCACGCGCGCUACACUGAAAGCGUCAGCGUGUCUAGCAACCUGGCCUGAAAAGGUCGGGUAAUCGGUUGAAAAGCUUUCGUGCUUGGAACAGGGAAUUGUAAUUGUUUCCCUCGAACGAGGAAUUCCCAGUAAGCGCGAGUCAUUAGCUCGCGUUGAUUACGUCCCUGCCCUUUGUACACACCGCCCGUCGCUACUACCGAUUGGAUGAUUUAGUGAGGUCUCUGGACCGGUGAAUCAUGCCCGUUUGGUAAAACGAACGGUGCUAUCGAGCUGGAAAAUUGGCCAAACCAAAUCAUCUAGAGGAAGUAAAAGUCGUAACAAGGUUUCCGUAG